UGGCUUUGGAGAAGGAAAUCCAGAUGCAGCUCCAGGACGAGGAGGCACAUCCUGGUUUUCAGCAGUCCCUGGCUGAGGAGCUCAGAUGGUCCAUGAGGAGGAUUAUCUCAGACCCUGAGUUUUUUAUGGAAAGGAAUUAUGAAAUGACCACAGAGGAGACGUCAAACCUGGGGUAAGCCGGCCAUUACCUUUCCUCACCUGUCAGCAGCCAGACAGCCACAUGAAGCUGCUUCUGCGAGCCCACAGCCCUGGAGAAGACCCCAUUCUCUGUUAGGUGCAAAGUUGUGCUGGGAAGGAGCUGCCUCCUUUUUCUUCAGAUCUUGCCCCAUAGGUGGCCGUCUGAUUUAAGGCAGCUCCAUGUGGAGACCGGAUCCUUUCCUUCACCUGACCAGGGGCUGAGAGGGAAUACCUGGGACUGAGUUCCAGCUCGAUCCCUUUACUAGCUGUGUGUCCUUGGGCAAGUCACUUGACCUGUCUGAGCCUUAC